AAUUACUCCCAUCACUUAAAUCAAGAUCACUGGCUAAAUCAGAAGGUGCACUACAAAAACAACACUGUCUAUCAUAAAUUCAAAACAGGAUAAGAAAUGAAGAAUAGCUGAGAAAAUCUUUCAAGCAAAUUACACGUUAAGGGUAAAAAAUGUUGUUUCCUGAACUGAAACAACUGGAUGAGAUAAAUAUAGUGUACAUUUAGGUGCCAAAGCCAGGUCGAUCAUGGAAACUUAAACACGACAACAUAAAAACCUAUGUUUAAUGUCCACUUCCUUGACUUUUUAAACUUAAUUUCAGCUUCACAGUGGUAUAUAAAACUAUGCAG
rnacentral:misc_RNA from 1 species